GCAUGGGGGUCGAUUUAGCCAUGCUAGUUGCACGAGUUCAUACUCGUGGCGAAAAGCUCAGUAACACGUGGCCAAACUACCCUACAGAGAACGAUAACCUCGGGAAACUGAGGCUAAUAGUUCAUACGGGAGUCAUGCUGGAAUGCCGACUCCCCGAAACGCUCAGGCGCUGUAGGAUGUGGCUGCGGCCGAUUAGGUAGACGGUGGGGUAACGGCCCACCGUGCCGAUAAUCGGUACGGGUUGUGAGAGCAAGAGCCCGGAGACGGAAUCUGAGACAAGAUUCCGGGCCCUACGGGGCGCAGCAGGCGCGAAACCUUUACACUGCACGCAAGUGCGAUAAGGGGACCCCAAGUGCGAGGGCAUAUAGUCCUCGCUUUUCUCGACUGUAAGGCGGUCGAGGAAUAAGAGCUGGGCAAGACCGGUGCCAGCCGCCGCGGUAAUACCGGCAGCUCAAGUGAUGACCGAUAUUAUUGGGCCUAAAGCGUCCGUAGCCGGCCACGAAGGUUCAUCGGGAAAUCCGCCAGCUCAACUGGCGGGCGUCCGGUGAAAACCACGUGGCUUGGGACCGGAAGGCUCGAGGGGUACGUCCGGGGUAGGAGUGAAAUCCCGUAAUCCUGGACGGACCACCGAUGGCGAAAGCACCUCGAGAAGACGGAUCC
rnacentral:rRNA from 1 species